AUACCCGGGUAGUCCUAGCCGUAAACGAUACUCGCUAGGUGUCGGCCACGGUGCGACCGUUGUCGGUGCCGUAGGGAAGCCGUGAAGCGAGCCACCUGGGAAGUACGGCCGCAAGGCUGAAACUUAAAGGAAUUGGCGGGGGAGCACAACAACGGGUGGAGCUUGCGGUUUAAUUGGAUUCAACGCCGGAAAUCUUACCGGGACCGACAGCAACAUGAAGGCCAAGCUGAAGACUUUGCCGGAUUAGCUG
rnacentral:rRNA from 1 species